AUACCUUUCUCGGCCUUUUGGCUAAGAUCAAGUGUAGUAUCUGUUCUUAUCAGUUUAAUAUCUGAUAUGUGGGUUAUUAACCCACAUGAUAUUAAAUUAAUUUUUUAAGGGGAGGAAUCACCACAGUAGCUUGCUAUUGGGUCUCUCUUGUGUCGCUUGCGCGUUGCACUAUAGCACUGGCCUGGCACACCCCUACCAUUUUAGUUAAAUAUGUUUAUAUCUUUGUUAUUGGGCAUUGGCAAUAAAAUUUGAUUGUGCCAAUUCCUAACUGCGAUGUAAUUUUAAAUUUAUUUUUUUGUAGAUGAUUUUUUGAGUGAUCUGUGCUAUUGUUCACUAAUAGCUAUAGACUGUAUUCAUGGUUAGAAUUAUGAAGUUGAUGGGAUGGGUGGGGAAUUGAAAUUUGUAUAAUAUCUUUGAGAAACCCAUCAUCUAGUUUUUGGAAGUUAUCUCCCUAAAUUUCUCUAUGGGUAAUAGGUGAAGCAAAUUAAU